rnacentral:rRNA from 1 species
AAUAUUCCUAUACCAAUUAGGGUGUGCGAUGGGAGGACGCAUAAAGUUAGGUGAGCCAACGGAUGGAAGUGUUGGUCUAAGAGCGUAGAUUGGGAGAGAGGCAAAUCCGCUCCUGUAUUCGAAACUUGAACAGGCUCUUUGAGGUCUUCGGAUCAAGAAGAGAAUCACUGAUACUAUCGUGCCAAGAAAAGUCUCUAAGUUUAGCCCUAAUUGUCCGUACCGCAAACCGACACAGGUAGAUGAGAUGAGUAUUCUAAGGCGCGUGGAAGAACUCUCUUUAAGGAACUCUGCAAACUAGCACCGUAAGUUCGCGAUAAGGUGUGCCUACGCAAGUAGGUCUCAGCAAAGAGUCCCUCCCGACUGUUUACCAAAAACACAGCACUUUGCCAACUCGUAAGAGGAAGUAUAAGGUGUGACGCCUGCCCGGUGCUCGAAGGUUAAGAGGAUGGGUUAGCCCAACGGCGAAGCUUUGAAUUGAAGCCCGAGUAAACGGCGGCCGUAACUAUAACGGUCCUAAGGUAGCGAAAUUCCUUGUCGGUUAAAUACCGACCUGCAUGAAUGGCGUAACGAGAUGGGAGCUGUCUCAAAGAGAGAUCCAGUGAAAUUGUAGUGGAGGUGAAAAUUCCUCCUACCCGCAGCAAGACGGAAAGACCCCGUGGACCUUUACUAUAGCUUAGCACUGCUAAUGGGAAUGCCAUGCGCAGGAUAGGUGGGAGGCUUUGAAGCAAGAGCUUUGGCUCUUGUGGAGCCAUCCUUGAGAUACCACCCUUGGCGUUUUUGUUAGCUAACUGGCUAGAGUUAUCCUCUAGCAGGACAAUGCUUGGUGGGUAGUUUGACUGGGGCGGUCGCCUCCUAAAAAGUAACGGAGGCUUACAAAGGUUAGCUCAUGGCGGUUGGAAAUCGCCAGUUGAGUGUAAUGGCACAAGCUAGCUUAACUGCAAGAGAGACAACUCAAGCAGAGACGAAAGUCGGUCAUAGUGAUCCGGUGGUUCUCGUGUGGGAGAGCCAUCGCUCAAAGGAUAAAAGGUACCCCGGGGAUAACAGGCUGAUCUCCCCCAAGAGCUCACAUCGACGGGGAGGUUUGGCACCUCGAUGUCGGCUCAUCGCAUCCUGGGGCUGGAGCAGGUCCCAAGGGUAUGGCUGUUCGCCAUUUAAAGCGGUACGCGAGCUGGGUUCAGAACGUCGUGAGACAGUUCGGUCCCUAUCUGCUGUGGGCGUAGGAAAGCUGAGGAGAGCUGUCCCUAGUACGAGAGGACCGGGAUGGACAUGCCACUGGUGCACCAGUUGUUCUGCCAAGAGCACCGCUGGGUAGCUACGCAUGGUUGUGAUAAGAGCUGAAAGCAUCUAAGCUCGAAGCCAACUCCAAGAUAAGCUUUCCCUGAAGCUCGCAUGAAGACUACAUGUUUGAUAGGGUGGGUGUGUAAGUGCAGUAAUGCAUUUAGCUAACCACUACUAAUAGAGCGUUUGGCUUGUUUGG